rnacentral:rRNA from 1 species
GCCCUCGCGGGCCCCUCGUCUCACUCUGGAUGCAAUGCGUCCCUCGCGACGCUAGUCUUGGUCUGCUCUUGCGGACCUCGACAAAACCUUUGUAAUCCGAAAUCAUGCCUAUUCGAAACCGAGAGAUAAUACAACCAGUAGCGUUGGAUCCCUUGGCACGUCGUUCGAUGAAGACCGUUGCAAAAUGCGAUAAGUGGUGUGAUAUGCAAGUCCAAAACUUAUACGUGAACCAUCGAAUUGUUGAACGCACUGCAUCGAGCCUUACCCAGGAACGAUACGCCCCAUUGAGCGUCAUUAUGUCUUCGAGACUUGUCGCUUUUCACGAAGCGACCUGUCCGGGUUCGGGAUUCACGACCUUUGGGUCGCGCUUCCUCAGAUACAUUGGCUGCGCCGAUGGCGAACAGUGACCUUGUCAUGAAUGUCGAGGUGUGCCUGUGAGCUUCGAGCGCAAGAUCCGUCGCGAACGUCGACGGAUCAGACGCGUCUCUUUCGAGAUUGCACCUUCCACACAUGACCUCACGGGGGUGGGACGACCCGCUAGACUUAAGCAUAUUAAUCAGCGGAGGAAAAGAAACUAACAAGGAUUCCCCUAGUAACUGCGAGUGAAGAGGGAUUAGCUCAAUGUGUGAAUCGGGUUGGGAUUAACCCCCGUCUCGAGUUGUGCACUAUAGACGCCGGAUCAGCGCUUGAAGGAUCGAGGUGGAUGUCCGAUGAAACUCGGUGCCAUAGAGGGUCAUAGUCCUGUACUUGCCUUGUCAUCCUUUGCGCAUUUGACCGAUGUUCUGCGAGUCGCGUAGUUUUGUAUUGCUGCGCUAAGUGGGAGGUAGAGCCCUUCUAAAGCUAAAUAUGGCGACGUGACCGAUAGCACACAAGUACCGCGAGGGAAAGGUGAAAAGCAACCAUGCAGAAUGGGUUGAAACAGCAGUGAAAGCGCUACUGGGAUAAGGGCUGGGGAUUGCUUGUGUCGCUUGCGCGUGCUUCAGUGCUGUGCUUGUGAACGGCGUGCUUUCGUUCGGAUGGGGAGAACAGGGCCUCGGGAAUUCGGCUGGAUCCGUCCAGUGUUGUAGCCCGGGUGUCAGUGGAGCCC